CACCUACCACGGUUGAGUGUUGGCAGAGUUGUCACGUGAUCGAGCACUUCAACAAUCGGAUUGGCUAAGUCGCACUCCCUGAAAAUUUGGUUGUCCAGAUGGUAAGAGUUAACUCCAUUGAGAAACAUUGUUCUUAUUUCUUUUUGAAAUUGGUUGUUAUUACUUGCAUGUAAACCAAAAUCGUUAUCAAUUUUCUUUUCAGCAUCAACAUAACAUGUUUGAUCCAGAGCAUUCAGUACACCGCCCCCCAUCUGGCAAUGGGAGCAGUGCGCUGGGUACCAUGCAUUUUACCCGGGCAAAGGCACGGAGGGGAAAUACCGAGGGCGAAGUAGAAGAUUCCACAAACAAAAGUGCUGCUAAGAUGGACAGUCUCAAGCCUGUUAAACAACAUAUUCUCUGGAAGAAGAAGGCUGAGAUGCUCCAGUCUCGGGUGGAUGAGCUGGAGGAGGAAAAUGGCUUACUCAAGAAGCAACUUGAAGAGAAGUCUGCACAAGAACAAGAUGGGAACAUGGAGAUAAUGGCCACUGGAGAUGAGGAGCCACAGGCCAUGAUGCUGGACUCCAGCACUGAUACUAGCACUGAUUCAAGCUCUGAUGACUCCAGCUCCAGCUCUACCUCUGACUCUUCGGUUGAGGAAAAGAAGAAAAAGAAGUAUAAAAAGAAAAAUGGCAAGAAGAGAAGUAAAAAAAGAAAGAAGGAAAACAAAAAAAUGAAGAGGUCAGGCAGAAAAGGAGAGCGAGGUAUGGUAGGCUCUUAAGACAUGCUGUACUUAUUUAGGUAUUAGCCUAGGUGUUUAGGUUAUCAUUUGUAUCUUACCUGAUAGCACACGUACAUGUAGACAGCAGAUGCUUUCCAGAUCAAGAGAUCAUUAACAGACAUCUUACAGACUUACGUGUGCUAUCUGGGUUAGUGGCUUUUUAACUGGAUUUGAGGCAUUGUGCACACUAUCCCACAACAUCACUCUUAUCAUCUCUCUUUUGAAUGACAUGAAAUAAACAUGUCAAAAGCUUAACUGUUCUGUUUGUUUUUCUUGAUGUUGAACAUUUGUUUUCAUAUGUUUUGAAUGAAGUAAAUAAAGACAGACUGUGUAUGCACUUACUUAUUAUGGCUGGAUGAGGUGAAGCUGUAAUUAAUCAUUAAAUAUAAAGAAUAUGCUGGCUAGUUUUUACCUCAUUUUUAAACCAAUAAUAAGCAAAUAGUCUUGCCUUAAUUAGCAGACUGCCCUCACACUAUAAAAUACAACAGAUGUUCUAAAUCAAAGACACACACCUUAAUCUAAGUUGUAACUUUCCUUUUGAAGAGAACAUUUUUGGGAAACACUGUGGCUAACCCUGCAACUAAGACACCACACAAGACACAACAUAGAACUCAUUGGUGAUUUAUUCAAAUUGUUUUCUUUUCAGUUGCCUCAAUUUCAGAUGUGGUGAAAAGAUAUCUGCGUGUCCUCAAAUUUGUGCAAAAAGGCUUCAGGAUGACCGCAGCCUUAAAGAAGGCUCACGUUUCAAGAAAUGCUGUGAAAGACACGGCAGCGAUUGCAGAGAUUUACAUAGCAGACAAAAGUGUCCUAGACCAGUUCAAGGGUAAAUACACACUUUUGAAACUAGCACAACUUUGUCAAAAAAAAAUAGCUGGUGAACUGGCAGAAAAGAUCAUUGAAAUGAAAAAUAACAAACAGCUCAUCCCCUUUUCUGCAAAGAAAGACUGAAUGUAGGAAACAGGAUGUUAGCUAAGUUUGAGUAGAUUGUAAGUAGAUACGUUUUGUUUUUCAUAAUUUAAAGUUCAAGUUGCUUUGCCCCUACGAUGACAUGGUAGAGACUUGUUUGAUUAUUUGUAGUUUAUUUUAUUUUGUUGUUUUGUUUUUGUUUUAUGUAAUGUUAAUUCAAGUAAAGUUUGAUACAACAUAAUUAGACUGUUCAGAUCUGAUGCCCUAGUGAACAAUGGGUUUGUAUAAAUAUAUUGUUAAUAAAACAACUUUCUCUAA